UACGUAGGGGGCGAGCGUUGUCCGGAUUUACUGGGCGUAAAGAGCGCGCAGGCGGUCGUUCAAGUCGAGUGUGAAAGCCCCCGGCUCAACUGGGGAGGGUCAUUCGAUACUGAUCGACUGGAAGGCAGGAGAGGGAAGCGGAAUUCCGGGUGUAGCGGUGGAAUGCGUAGAGAUCCGGAAGAACACCGGAGGCGAAGGCGGCUUGCUGGGCUUGGUCUGACGCUGAGGCGCGAAAGCGUGGGGAGCGAACAGG
rnacentral:rRNA from 1 species